GAUGAACGCUAGCUACAGGCUUAACACAUGCAAGUCGAGGGACCGGCGUACGGGUGAGUAACGCGUAUCCAACCUUCCCAUUACUGUGGGAUAACCUGCCGAAAGGCAGACUAAUACCGCAUAGUAAUGGAUGGGGAUGCGUCUGAUUAGCUUGUUGGCGGGGUAACGGCCCACCAAGGCGACGAUCAGUAGGGGUUCUGAGAGGAAGGUCCACCACAUUGGAACGGGGACGAUGUGCAAACUCGUAAGGGAGGUUGCAGUGAGGUAAAUUGGUGAAUAGACGGAGGGCUGAACCAGCCAGGUAGCGGGCAGGAUGGCGGCGUAUGGGUUGUAAAGAGCGUUUGUGUGAGAGGAGGUACCAUAUGAAUAAGGUCCGGCUAAUUCCGUGCCAGCAGCCGCGGUAAUUC
rnacentral:rRNA from 1 species